rnacentral:tRNA from 2 species
GAAAUAAAAGUUAAGAAUCAAGCUGCUAACUUGAUAAUUAGCGGUUAAAUUCCGUUAUUAUUUCU